UACGAAGGGGGCUAGCGUUGCUCGGAAUCACUGGGCGUAAAGGGUGCGUAGGCGGGUUUUUAAGUCAGAGGUGAAAUCCUGGAGCUCAACUCCAGAACUGCCUUUGAUACUGAAAGUCUUGAGUAUGGGAGAGGUGAGUGGAACUGCGAGUGUAGAGGUGAAAUUCGUAGAUAUUCGCAAGAACACCAGUGGCGAAGGCGGCUCACUGGCCCAUAACUGACGCUGAGGCA
rnacentral:rRNA from 1 species